UUCUUACACCUUGAAACUUCAAUGGCUAAAAAAUAUUUCAAUAAACCCAAAUCUUUUGUUUGAAACCGAGUCUGAAGGAAUGACUUGAUUGAAGAAAUGCCUGCAGAGUCAUUUCCAUUAAUGACAAUAUCAUCAACAUAUACUAUAAGUAAGAUUAGUCCAGCUUUAGAAUGUCUAUAAAACAUCGAAAGAUCAAACUUGCUCUUCUGCAUACCAAACUGAUGAACUACCUCACUGAACCUGCCA
rnacentral:misc_RNA from 1 species